CAGUCAAGGGAAGCCGGAGCCUGGAGAAGACGAGCCGCGCGGUCGGAGGCGCGGUGCGGGACCAGGACAGUGGGGCCUGGCCGUGCGCUUCGCCCUGGCGGUCCAGGAGCUGUCUCGCCCUCCGAAGAGUUACGGGAGGUGGCACUGCUUUUGCUCUCUGCCCUUUCGACACGUGAAGGAGAGAAUCAUUCGGAACCCAGGACUCAGACCGGUGGCCGAGGGCCUGUGCAGCCGCGAGCACGACAGCGCAGCGCUGGCCGCGUCCGCGCGCGUUCCUCCGACAAGGGCAGAGCAGUCGACCAGCGCGCCCCAGUCUCGAUCGGGUUCAAGGCGACUCUUGAGGACGAAGGCGGCUGGUCCCAGAGCACCUCGGAGAAAGCGGACGCCUGUCUUGGCCUUUGGAAGACGCUCAAGGACCACGUGGCCGGGUCCACGGUCUCUGCCCUGCGCCUCGAGGGCGAGGCAGCCCAGGUCUUGCCCUUCUUGCCGGCCACUUCGCCCCCAGCCGACGCCUGGAGCUUGAGGUGACUGAGCGCUCUCAGGUCUGUGUGCUUUUGAAUGUUGAAGAUCAGAGCUCCCCUCCCCCGCCCUCCCGGAAGGGAUGUACACACUCUGGUUACACGUGCACGUGUGCUCCUGUGCACACGCCUGCACGGCCUCUGGAGGACGGGAGCCGGGCGGGCCCUUCUCACACCGUUGCUUGGGCUCGGCUCUGUGCGCUGCCUCCGUGGCUCUGCCCUCCCGCCGGAGACGGGGCCUGUAGGGAGCCGGGCUGGCCCAGGCGUCUCCCCAGGGAGCCGGUCUCGACCGUCUUCUGGGCUCCCUCCUGCCGCAGGUGAAGUGAAGCCGCCUUUGCGAGGAGGCAGCUGUCACGGGUCCGAGCUGGGAGGACCCGUAACUCCCUGGAAUUUCCCAGCAUCUGUGGGGUCGGGCAGCGCUCAGGGGCUCAGCAAGUGAUGGGGUCUCAACCCGGCCCUCCCCCGAGAGCCAGCCUCACUGUGGCCUGUCGGGCACACUUGGCUGCUUCCAGCCUCCUGGGGAGUCAGUGCAGCCGUGAGGGUCAGACCCGGAGUGGCAUCCGUUCCCCUCCCCCGCUCAUGCCAUGGCCAGGGGCAGGCCUGCCUCCCGGGGCUGGGCAGAGAGGACCUGGGAUCCCUCUGCCAUCGGGGCCUCUCAUGUUGGUAGGUCCAGCUUGCCCACCAGACUCCACAGACGCCACCCCGGGGCUUUUCUGUCUGCAUGCAGGGCCUGUGCCAGCUGGUGCCCUAGGGUGGGGUGGGACACUCUGGGGGCGGGAGGGCCUCCAAGGACUUCAGAGACGGAGGAGAGAGGGGGACACGAGAGGGGAAUAGCGGAGGGAAAGAACAGAGCAGAGGCAGAGAGAGCAGGGCCGGGAGAAGGGAGACGGCAGAGCCACCAGGACCCGCGCGCAGCUGUCCCUGGGGAGACGGCCUCG
rnacentral:lncRNA from 1 species